CUCUGUGACUCCUACGGGAGGCAGCAGUGGGGAAUAUUGCACAAUGGGGGAAACCCUGAUGCAGCCAUGCCGCGUGUGUGAAGAAGGCCUUCGGGUUGUAAAGCACUUUCAGUAGGGAGGAAGGUAGUGUAGUUAACACCUGCAUAUUUGACGUUACCUACAGAAGAAGCACCGGCUAACUCCGUGCCAGCAGCCGCGGUAAUACGGAGGGUGCGAGCGUUAAUCGGAAUUACUGGGCGUAAAGCGCAUGCAGGCGGCCUGUUAAGUCAGAUGUGAAAGCCCGGGGCUUAACCUCGGAAUUGCAUUUGAAACUGGCAGGCUAGAGUCUUGUAGAGGGGGUAGAAUUUCAGGUGUAGCGGUGAAAUGCGUAGAGAUCUGAAGGAAUACCAGUGGCGAAGGCGGCCCCCUGGACAAAGACUGACGCUCAGAUGCGAAAGCGUGGGGAGCAAACAGGAUUAGAUACCCUGGUAG
rnacentral:rRNA from 1 species